GCCCGCCUAGCUCAAUCGGAUAGAGCGUCAGACUCUUACUAAGAGAGACGAGAGCAAUCGGGCAUCUGAAGGCUGCGAGUUCGACCCUCGCGGUGGGCU
rnacentral:tRNA from 1 species